UACGUAGGUGGCAAGCGUUGUCCGGAUUUAUUGGGUUUAAAGGGUGCGUAGGCGGUUUCUUAAGUCAGCGGUGAAAUACGGCAGCUCAACUGUCGAGGUGCCAUUGAUACUGGGAAACUUGAGUACUGAUGAGGUAGGCGGAAUGGACGGUGUAGCGGUGAAAUGCUUAGAGAUCGUCCAGAACACCGAUAGCGAAGGCAGCUUACUAAGGAGUAACUGACGCUGAGGCACGAAAGUGUGGGGAUCAAACAGG
rnacentral:rRNA from 1 species